CGAGUAAGCGAGGUGGUUGCAGGUUGCGAUCGCAACUUGAGGAAAGUCCGGGCUUCCGAAAGACCAAGCUUGCUGGGUAAUGCCCAGUGCGGGCGACCGUGAGGAUAGUGCCACAGAAACAUACCGCCGAUGGAACAGGUCAAGAGUCAAGGUUCAUUCCUGCUUGCGACGGUUCCAGGUAAGGGUGCAAGGGUGCGGUAAGAGCGUACCAGCAGCAUCGAGAGGUGCUGGCUCGGUAAACCCCGGCUGGAAGCAAGGCUGUAGGAACUAGGGUUGGUCUUUUUCCCGUUCCGGCAAAAGGUAACUUUUGUGCGACCGCUAGAGGUGUCUGGUAACAGGCAUUCGAGAUAGAUAACCGCCCUCCAAUCGGAGAACAGAACCCGGCUUAUGUCUUACUCGCCCC
rnacentral:RNase_P_RNA from 2 species